AAAAAUCUUCAUAUUGGUUUCUUCACCUCUUUUUAAUAAUCUCUCUGCAACUGUGAGACCAUUUUGUCAAGCAAUAAUGUUGAUGUCUAUAUUUGCCUAACUCAUUCUUCUUAUUCGUUAGGAAUCCAAAAGAGGCAACUGAAUAUUUUCUUGAUAGACGGCUUUUAUUGGUGAGAAAUGGCUCAAGUGUUGGAUUGAUCCAAGAGAAACUUAUACUGAAAAAAGAGCAGGCCAAAGGAAUCUUUCCUUAGAUGUGAACUGCUCUGUAUAUCCCGCUUCUGAAAUAUAUCCAAGGAAGAAACUAUUGUUACAGCAAGGAUAAGAAGAGAUCUCAAAGUUGGCGAAAGAUUAUUGUUCUCUUUCUGAUUUGAGGAGUUAGUCUCGUUUCCUCAUUUUCGAUGGUACAAGUGGAGCUUCAUUUUGACAAGGAUGCACCACCACCCCGAUAACCUUUCACAUUUUGGCAAUCGUCAAGAAAGAUCCUGAUCAAAAAAAAGAAAUAAAAACAAAGCAGGCUUGCCUUGCAAAUAUCGUUGACAUGAGUUGUGAGAAUUAUGGAAAUGAAAAUCGAAUUUUCCAGAAUUAUUCCAACCAGGCUGCGCAGUCACCCAAAUUGAAUAAAACAUUAAUACUAAUGGGUUUUUGUUUUCCUUCUU